UACGUAGGGCGCAAGCGUUGUCCGGAAUCAUUGGGCGUAAAGAGCGUGUAGGCGGCCCGGUAAGUCCGCUGUAAAAGUCAAAGGCUCAACCUUUGAAUGUCAGUGGAUACUGCCGGGCUAGAGUCCGGAAGAGGCGAGUGGAACUCCUGGUGUAGCGGUGGAAUGCGCAGAUAUCAGGAAGAACACCAACGGCGAAGGCAGCUCGCUGGGACGGUACUGACGCUGAGACGCGAAAGCGUGGGGAGCGAACAGG
rnacentral:rRNA from 1 species